rnacentral:rRNA from 1 species
UACGAAGGGGGCUAGCGUUGUUCGGAAUCACUGGGCGUAAAGCGCACGUAGGCGGAUCUUUAAGUCAGGGGUGAAAUCCCGAGGCUCAACCUCGGAACUGCCUUUGAUACUGGGGAUCUCGAGUCCGGGAGAGGUGAGUGGAACUGCGAGUGUAGAGGUGAAUUCGUAGAUAUUCGCAAGAACACCAGUGGCGAAGGCGGCUCACUGGCCCGGAACUGACGCUGAGGUGCGAAAGCGUGGGGAGCAAACAGG